GGUCAGUGAUGUCAUGGCAUGUAUUAGCUGAUGCUAACAUGAUGAGUGUUCUCAUGAUACUGAGACCUU
ensembl:snoRNA